AUGUCCAUCAUGAUAGCCAUGGAGUUUUUGGUGUUUGCCUCCCUUUGCCUCCCGUGUUUGGUGUCCAUUGCUGACACUGCCACAACAAGCACCACUGACCACCAAGCGCUCAUGUCACUGAGGGCUCUGAUCAAUGGAGACCCAUUCCAAGCACUGAAUGCAUGGGGAAACCAGUCGAUCCUUAUGUGCCAAUGGCGCGGAGUGGCAUGUGGCAUGCGGGGCCGCUGCCGCGGCCGUGUCGUAGCACUGGAUCUUGGUGGGCUCAACCUUGUUGGCUCCAUUGCCUCUUCCAUAGGUAACCUAACUUACCUCAGGCAUUUUGGCCUCCAAGAGAACCGCUUCUCCGGUACCAUACCUUCAGAGGUUGGACAUCUCGUAGAACUCGAGUAUAUGAACCUCAGUAGGAACUCCAUCGGCGGGGAGAUCCCACCGACACUGGCAGCUUGUGUCCAGCUUCGAGUUAUUGAUCUGAGUCACAACAUGCAUAAAGGCUCGGUGCCGCGGGAGUUGUCAUCCCUGCAUAAUCUAGAGGUGCUGGCUCUUGGGCACAACAACCUUACAGGAAACAUUCCCGCGGAGAUUGGAAACCUGAAAGGUCUGAUCGUUCUUCAUCUGGUAUCAAACAUGCUAGUAGGAGAAAUUCCUACAGAGAUUGCAAAUCUUAGAAACUUGACCAGUUUAUACCUUAACAUUAAUGGUCUGUCAGGUUCUGUUCCUGCCUCUCUUGGUGGCCUCCAAAAAUUACAGAUUUUGUAUCUAGCCACGAACCGACUCUCAGGACCGAUUCCAGCUUCCCUAGGAAAUCUAUCUAAUUUACUAAUUCUAGAUUUCCAGUCAAAUGGCCUAACCGGUAGCAUCCCUGAAUCAUUAGGAAAUCUGAAUCUCCUUAACGUGCUUUCUCUCACAUCUAAUAAUCUUACAGGCUCAAUUCCUCACACUCUCGGGAAACUCAGUUCUCUUGUUGAGUUUUAUCUCAACGGGAAUCAACUCGAGGGUUCCAUACCAGUUUCUGUAUAUAAUCUUUCAUCACUCCAAUUUUUCAGUGUGCAAUACAACAACCUGAGUGGAUCCAUUUCAGAUGACUUGGGUAAUAAGUUUACACAACUCCAGCAACUUUCCAUGGACAAUAACAGAUUUCAUGGGUCCAUCCCGGAGUCUUUGUGUAAUGCUUCAAUGCUUGAACUAGUUCAAUUGUCUGACAACUUUUUUUCCGGAGUAAUACCAAAAUGUCUUGGAGCUACCAUGAAGAGCUUAUCGAGACUGCUUCUCUCAAAUACCCAACUAGAGGCAAGGAAUGAUGCCGAUUGGGAUUUCAUUUCUAGCUUGACAAACUGUAGUAUGCUAUCAUACCUAGCUCUUGACAAUAACAAACUAGAAGGGGUGCUACCAAAUUCAAUAGCAAAUCUUUCCACAAACUUAGAAUAUUUUAGCGUGACAGGCAACAUGCUGCAUGGAAAUAUACCUGAAGGAAUUGGAAACCUUGUCAACUUGCAACUCUUGCAGAUGGGUGGCAAUUUCCUACAUGGAAAAAUUCCUGAAUCGAUUGGUAACCUUGGGAUCCUGGCUGAACUAUACUUGUACAACAACAGUUUAUCUGGACCAAUUCCACCAAUGCUUGGAAAUCUAACAGCAUUAAGUAUACUUGCCCUCGCCCAAAAUGUGCUUACUGGCCCCAUACCAUCCAGCCUUGGAAGCUGCCCUCUGAUGGUGCUGAGCCUAGCAUUCAAUCGGCUUGUUGGUCCAAUACCAAAAGAGAUUUUCCUCAUAUCGACACUGUCUGUUUCUGUGGAGGUUCAGGGCAACAAGUUAACUGGGAAAAUUCCUUUAGAAGUUGGUAAUCUGGUGAAUAUUGGAUCUCUGGAUGUGUCUGACAACAGGAUAACUGGAUUAAUUCCUGCUUCUCUAGCUCAGUGUGGAAGUAUGCAGUAUCUCAGUAUGGAAGGAAACCUAUUUCAGGGCACGAUUCCAGCAUCAAUGUCACAGAUGAAAGGCCUUCUAGUUCUUGAUGUUUCAAGAAACAACUUGUCCGGUGAGAUCCCAUUCUUCCUUGGGGACAUGCAGGGGCUCGCUACCCUCAAUAUAUCAUUCAACAAUUUUGUGGGUGAAGUUCCGAAACAUGGAUUAUUUCUGAAUGCAAGUGCAGCUCUGAUUGAAGGGAACUAUGGCUUAUGUGGAGGAAUCUCCCAAUUUAACUUGCAUCCCUGCUCAAAUCAUACAUCCAAGAAGUGGUCUCACAAGCUUGUCGUGUUGAUCUCAGUAGGCAGUGCAGUUAUUUGCAUUAUCUUAGUAGUACUAUUUGCACAACGGAAAUUGAAAAGCAAGUUUACAGAGAUAGGACAGGUUCCAUCGCUCCAUAGUGGACAACAUAUGAGGGUUACCUAUGGUGAAUUAGUGAGAGCAACAAGUGGUUUUGCUUCUGAGAAUCUCUUAGGCACAGGAAGCUUCGGCUCAGUGUACAAAGGAACAAUGAUGAAUGAAGAUCAGGAAGUGAUUGUCGCUGUCAAGGUGCUCAACCUCCAGCAGCGAGGGGCAUCUCAAAGCUUUGUUGCAGAAUGUGAGACUUUAAGAUGCAUCAGACAUCGAAACCUUGUGAAGAUAUUGACAGUCUGCUCAAGUAUUGAUUUCAAGGGUCUAGACUUCAAAGCUCUCGUAUUUGAGUUCAUGCCGAAUGGAAAUCUUGAUCAAUGGCUACACAGCCGUCUCGUGGAAGAUGGGGGCAAUGGGGUGCUCAGUCUUACCCAAAAGGUAGACAUUGCCAUUGAUGUAGCUUCAGCACUAGAAUAUCUGCACCACAAUAAGCCAGUGCCAAUAGUUCACUGUGAUCUUAAGCCAAGCAAUAUUCUCCUCGACGAUGACAUGGUUGCCCAUGUGGGUGACUUUGGACUUGCAAGGUUCUUGCCUGAGGAUGAUACUAGCCUCCUAGAGAUAUCAAGUGGUUGGGCUACAAGAAGGGGAACAACUGGAUAUGCUGCCCCAGAGUACGGUCAAGGAAAUGAAGUCUCGGUCUAUGGUGAUACCUAUAGCUACGGAAUAAUGUUGUUAGAGUUGUUCACUGGUAAAAGGCCAACUGAUGGUGGGUUUCUGCAAGAUCUUAACCUACAUAGUUACGUCGAGAUAGCACUGAGGGACCAAGCCACCAACCUGGUGGAUCUGUGCUUAUUAUCUUCACCGGGGGAAGGAACAGAAAUGAGAGCUCCAUGCAUCACUUCAGUUCUGCACAUUGGGAUAUUAUGUUCGAAGGAACUGCCAACUGAUCGCAUGCAGAUUGGGGAUGCUAUGAGAGAGCUAUUGACGAUCAGAGACACGUACCGCACGCACCUAUUGAGUAGAGGUGGGUCCAUCUAA
rnacentral:rRNA from 1 species